GAAAUGCGAUAAGUAAUGUGAAUUGCAGAAUUCAGUGAAUCAUCGAAUCUUUGAACGCACAUUGCGCCCGCCAGUAUUCUGGCGGGCAUGCCUGUUCGAGCGUCAUUUCAACCAUCAAGCCCCCGGGCUUGUGUUGGGGACCUGCGGCUGCCGCAGGCCCCGAAAACCAGUGGCGGGCUCGCUGUCACACCGGGCGUAGUAGAUUUUUCGUCUCGCCCAGGGCGUGCUGCGGGUUCCGGCCGUUAAAAAGUCUCUCUUUUAACCCAAGGUUGACCUCGGAUCAGGUAGGAAGACCCGCUGAACUUAAGC
rnacentral:misc_RNA from 1 species